GGAGUUUGGUCCGUGUCUCAGUACCAAUGUGGGGGACCUUCCUCUCAGAACCCCUACUGAUCGUAGGCUUGGUGGGCCGUUACCCCGCCAACAACCUAAUCAGACGCAUCCCCAUCCCUUAGCGAUAAAUCUUUGUUCCAGCUCAGAUGUCCUCAUCGGAAAACAUAGGGUAUUAAUCCGACUUUCGCCGGGCUAUGCCCUACUAAGGGGAAGGUUGGGAUACGCGUUACUCACCCGUGCGCCGGUCGCCGACAUUGUAUUGCUACAACCCGCUGCCCCUCGACUUGCAUGUGUUAAGCCUGCCGCUAGCGUUCAUC
rnacentral:rRNA from 1 species